rnacentral:rRNA from 1 species
UACGGGGGGGGCAAGCGUUGUUCGGAAUUACUGGGCGUAAAGGGCUCGUAGGCGGCCAACUAAGUCAAACGUGAAAUCCCUCGGCUUAACCGGGGAACUGCGCUUGAUACUGGAUGGCUUGAGAUUGGGAGAGGGAUGCGGAAUUCCAGGUGUAGCGGUGAAAUGCGUAGAUAUCUGGAGGAACACCGGUGGCGAAGGCGGCAUCCUGGACCAUUACUGACACUGAAUAGCGAAAGCCAGGGGAGCAAACGGG